rnacentral:rRNA from 1 species
ACGGGUGAGGAAUACAUCGGAAUCUGCCUUGUCGUGGGGGAUAACGUAGGGAAACUUACGCUAAUACCGCAUGCGACCGAAAGGUGAAAGUGGGGGACCGCAAGGCCUCACGCGAUAAGAUGAGCCGAUGUCGGAUUAGCUAGUUGGUGAGGUAAUGGCUCACCAAGGCGACGAUCCGUAGCUGGUCUGAGAGGAUGAUCAGCCACACUGGAACUGAGACACGGUCCAGACUCCUACGGGAGGCAGCAGUGGGGAAUAUUGGACAAUGGGCGCAAGCCUGAUCCAGCCAUGCCGCGUGGGUGAAGAAGGCCUUCGGGUUGUAAAGCCCUUUUGUUGGGGAAGAAAUCGUACGGGUGAAUAUCCCGUGCGGAUGACGGUACCCAAAGAAUAAGCACCGGCUAACUUCGUGCCAGCAGCCGCGGUAAUACGAAGGGUGCAAGCGUUACUCGGAAUUACUGGGCGUAAAGCGUGCGUAGGCGGUCUGUUAAGUCCGUUGUGAAAGCCCUGGGCUCAACCUGGGAAUUGCAGUGGAUACUGGCAGGCUAGAGUACGGUAGAGGAUGGUGGAAUUCCCGGUGUAGCGGUGAA